GUAUCUGUGUAAUGGAGACUGAUAUAUCCAAAUGUGAGGCUACAGUACAGUGUGCAUUUCUACUUCUGGAUCAAGGAUGGACUCCCAGUGAAACUGUUGGAUGUGUCUUGACAUUGG